rnacentral:rRNA from 1 species
AAUUCGAAGCAACGCGAAGAACCUUACCAGGCCUUGACAUGCAGAGAACUUUCCAGAGAUGGAUUGGUGCCUUCGGGAACUCUGACACAGGUGCUGCAUGGCUGUCGUCAGCUCGUGUCGUGAGAUGUUGGGUUAAGUCCGUAACGAGCGCAACCCUUGUCCUUAGUUACCAGCACGUUAUGGUGGGCACUCUAAGGAGACUGCCGGUGACAAACCGGAGGAAGGUGGGGGAUGACGUCAAGUCAUCAUGGCCCUUACGGCCUGGGCUACACACGUGCUACAAUGGUCGGUACAAAGGGUUGCCAAGCCGCGAGGUGGAGCUAAUCCCAUAAAACCGAUCGUAGUCCGGAUCGCAGUCUGCAACUCGACUGCGUGAAGUCGGAAUCGCUAGUAAUCGUGAAUCAGAAUGUCACGGUGAAUACGUUCCCGGGCCUU